AUGAUCUGUACAGGGAGCCAAGUUCCUCGAUUCGAGAUCACAUCGAAAACAAGACGCAUAUAUCUUCAGAAUGUAAAAGGGAGCCAAGUUCCUCAAAUCCAGAUCACAUCAAAUCCAGUGAUCAGUACUUAUAAGACAGAAAGAGAAGGGCAAAGGGAGGACUCACGCUGCUGCUUCGCUUUCUCCGGCGGCACAGGUCACGCAUGCACGGACUCGUUGAAGCUAGAAGGAAAGGGGUCACCGGCCAACUCCUCCACAGCAUCUCUCCGACCGCCGCAUCACCUCAGCCCAACUUCUGUCCCACCAAGUGCCUCUGUUCACUUGCCUCCUACAUCAUCAGGCGCCUCCCAACCAAGCCCCAUCAGGCGCCUCUCAUGGAUGCGUCAGACGCGGCGUCAGGAAGCAGUCGUCGUCCUCGUCGUGCAUGUGUGGUUUGGUGACGGCGCCGCGGCACAGGAAGACAAGAGGAACGAGAUCAGGGACGCAAAGAUUCAAAGAAGACCAGGAGGGGCGGAUCGGAGCAGCGUGCAUUUAAUGGAGUUGUCAGGUAUGGGGAGUGGCGUACCAGAGCUGUGGCGUUGCAGAUCGGGACGCCUCGCUUCGGAUCCACCUGAGACAUCGCCGGAGAGGAGCGCCGCCGCGGAUCCGACCGGAACGGGACCGGAUCGACCACUCGCAGGUGCUCCAGGAAGCUCGCCCCGUCCGUCCCGCUCGGUCGCGCAGCACACAGCACGCAGCACCAAGGUCCGUCAAUGCAGGAGAUCGAUGCGGUGGUCGGUGGGCGAAAGAGUGCGGCUGCCUGGUCAUCGACGCGGGCGGCGAUGCGGCAGGGGAAGGGGGAAGGGCGAGAUGCAUAGCUAUAAAGUGAUGGGUUCCAACAUACGCACUGAUGUAACGAUGACAGACCGCACUGAAACACAACGAGAAGAGAAUAUAGGAGACAUGGAUAUGGACUUUGGAGAUACACGGAAAGAAUCCAUUGAGGGUUCAGAUGCAAUGUCGCUGAAAGGGACGAAAAUUCACAACAUAAUAAUGUCGAAGAGGGAUAUUACAGUCAUCGAAUCAAUCAAGUCUGCCCCGAAGAAUACCCAGUUCAUAGACAUUGGAGAUGCCUUGUUAUCAACCGACGAUUUGGAAUGCCUUAUUAAAGAUGAUAUGUUCUUACAUGACGGUGUGAUAAAUGCUUACAUAUAUUGCAUGCUUGCUCACGACCAUCUACAAGACAGGGCGGGUGAAAAGUUAUUCAUUCCGAUUAACAUGCCGGGCUACCAUUGGUAUCUAGCAGUUGCCAACGCCAAAAAACGAGAGAUCCAAGUAUUGGACUCACUUGAUGAGAAUGUCAAACGCAAUGACCUUGCUACUACGUUGCUAGGGCUCGAGAAAUGGCUGAAACUUGUAGAGCAUAGUCCGGAGUUUAUCAAAGCUCAUAAGUGGCCUGAUCUCAAUGUUACAAAAUGGACGGUUGUAGAGCAAAUUCAGGAGGCAAUACAAACCGAUGGCGUAUCAUGUGGAUUGUUUAUGCUAAAUUAUAUGGAAUACUGGACACCGCAUGGACUGUCAGACCAGUUUACGCAGAAGGAUAUGAAACAUUUUCAACAAAAAUUAGCAAUUAUUUUGCUCGAUUCAGAGCUUAAUAAGUUAAAAGGAUGUCCCAUGUACCAUCAACCUCUCAACGAAGAAACUUUAGCUAAUUCUGAUCUUGAGAUCCUGGAUAAUCCAUCUGACGUGGUCGAAGAGAAACGUCCCGCCCCAAUCACUAUCAUUCCCACGGACCAACGUGAAAUACUUGCCGGCCUCUGCAACUACAUCAUGUCGAUCAAUGAUGCUGGAUGUUUGGAGAAGGUAUGGGUCCGGAGCUCCACACCCGAUCCAAUGAGCUUAAGUCUUAAGAAACUUCAGUGCAUACUUAACAUGGAGCAGCCCAUGGACAAUGAUUGCUUCAACACCGUCGUGCUUAUGCUGGCAUGUGACGAGGGAGUAUUGUUCACAGACCCUCCUAUACACUACAUGGAUCUACGAUUUUGUUCCAUGCUGCUAGAGUCAACACGAGGUCAGAAAUUUUGUGAGAAGGAAACUAUCCAAACGUUGGCAACAUUAUUUGAUAGCUGGCCUGGGAUGGAGACCGACAUCUCAUCUUGCAAUAAGAUUUAUCUUCCCUAUGCAUCCAUCGGCCGAUACAUCCUGUACAUCAUCGACAAAGAGGCACGUCGUCUAUAUAUUAUGGAUCAUAUUCAAUCAUCACAAUCGUCAGAGGAUAAAAACUUGAGGCAUUCACUGAAAUUAAAAAGUUUUUCAAGGGAUUUCAAAGAAGCACUCGAAAUAAAGCUGCCUGAGUGGAAAUUUGAUAUAUCUAAAUGGCAUCGUUUAUUUCCGGCCGGUGUUCCAACGAGUAUAGACGGGAUGGACUGCGUGCGUGCUCGUCGGACGGAGCGUCCGUCGCCUUGCGCGCGCGCUGAACCGACGGGCCUCCUCGAUCGGCUCGGCGCUAAUUCCUCUCGGGUCACCUCCUCGAUCGGCUUGUCCAUGCAUGCAUGUAUGCAGCAGCGUGUGCAUGCAUGUGAUGUACGGUUUAUAUGGCAAAUCCUGGUGUUGGCAGACAUGACGAGCAUCGACGGGACAUGCAUCGCUGCAAAAAAGUGGCUCAAGGUUCCAUCAUUCGUGCCAAGAAUGAUCGGUGAUUGGCUGAUCGGUGAUGACAACAUGGUGGCCAGGAGAUAUUCGACUAAUUCCUGCCACCACAAUUUCUUUGUUUGGUCAUGCGCCCGUACGCGUCACGUGCCCGACGGAUUCGUACGACCCAAACACGUAGCAGCGACACCUGCCCCACGAUUCGCCGGUCAGCUCAGCGACCUAACCCGCUGCGGUGACGAAUCAACCGCCGCGGCACCGUCGUGCAUCUUGACGAGUACGGCGGAGGUCGUCUCCUCCACAGUCGCUGACGCCUUCCUCCGUGUGGUUCUGCUCGUGCUGGAGGAGUUGUUGCAGCAGAACAACCUGGAAGUGUCGCCUCCCCUUCUUCGACUUGACUCCCGCACAGCUGUUGCCGGCGGUAGUUGUGUAAUCAGGGGAUUUGCACAACUUUGUGGCCAUGAUUUUUACAAGGAUUUUUGUGACUUAUUUUCUAUGCUCAUCUCGAAGCUGGAUCCUUUUCCUCGGAUGUGGCUGGGGCAGCUUAUCGACCUCGCGAGCUUUGAUGACGAAUCAUCCGGCGCGGCACCAUCGUGCAGCUCGACGAGUACGGUAGAGGUUGGCUUUUCCAGUCGCUGCCACCUUCCUCUGUGCGGAUCUGCUCGCGGUUCAGCGACGAGGAGACGUCUCGCCGACCAGGCCUCUCCAAAUCCUCAGCUCGAUGAAGCAAGCUCUAGGAGAGCAAGUUCCUCAUGGCUAUUGCUCCAUCCAACGCAGGCACGGCCAGGGGUAAGCACCGCCACCUCUUCUGUUCUUCCUGCUUCUUGCUUGUCUUCACAAGGUUUCACUUCAGCACCACCACCAGGAUACUUAUGUCUGAUCUCAAAGCUGAAUAUUUUUCCUGGGAUGUGGCUGGUGGGACAGGUUUCGGAGGGCGAAGGUGGUCAUCAUCGACCCGGGGCUCUACAUGGACAAGGUGGACGUGUUAUGGAUACCACAGUGCCGGAGCAUGCCAACAUCCUUCAAGCUCUUCACCGGAGAGCUAGUUCCUCAAAUUCUUGGGGUUCAUGUAGAAUCUCACUCUCAUGGGUCAUGGAGUCGGCCGCCAUCAUGGCCAUCCCGCUAGCAAACGGAGGGGGGAAGCGGCUGGAUUGGCAGGACUUCAUCAGCAUCAUUACCCUGCUUGUUAACAAGCAUCUGCUUCGUCUGCCGUGUCAAAGGCGUGUGCGGCCACCUGCCCCUUCUUCGACUCGACUCCGGCACACCUGCCAGCCCGAACGCUCCUGCUCCGAGAAGACCGCUCCGCAGAGACGUGAAUCCUGCAGUGCAAAAUUUUCGGAGACGAGGAGCAGCGCCAACCCAGCUUCGAAAAAACCAGAAGUAGUGAUCCACGUCUUCUCCAAGCUGCCGUGUGAUCUCAACUUCAUUGACCACACCAUCAACAUCGGAUGGAAGGAAUAG
rnacentral:rRNA from 1 species